rnacentral:rRNA from 1 species
AUUGAACGCUGGCGGCAGGCCUAACACAUGCAAGUCGAGCGGAUGAAGGGGGCUUUCUCCUGGAUUCAGCGGCGGACGGGUGAGUAAUGCAUAGGAAUCUGCCUGGUAGUUGGGGAUAACGUCCGGAAACGGGCGCUAAUACCGCAUACGUCCUGAGGGAGAAAGUGGGGGAUCUUCGGACCUCACGCUAUCAGAUGAGCCUAGGUCGGAUUAGCUAGUUGGUAGGGUAAAGGCUUACCAAGGCGACGAUCCGUAACUGGUCUGAGAGGAUGAUCAGUCACACUGGAACUGAGACACGGUCCAGACUCCUACGGGAGGCAGCAGUAGGGAAUAUUGGACAAUGGGCGAAAGCCUGAUCCAGCCAUGCCGCGUGUGUGAAGAAGGUCUUCGGAUUGUAAAGCACUUUAAGUUGGGAGGAAGGGCAGUAAGUUAAUACCUUGCUGUUUUGACGGUACCAACAGAAUAAGCACCGGCUAACUUCGUG